GCCUUACUGUUCAGGAUUACAAAAUUUUUAUUCUUUUUUUUAAAGAGAAUAAACAUCAGCAGACUGACUCCGAGCCACAGAUUUAUUAAAGUUAGAUUAGUUUAGUAAAUGUAAAGUUCAUCAAUGCAGAACAGAAUAAUUCAUCAAAAAGGACCAUAUAUUAUAUACUGGUACUAUAUUCAUAAACAUUAUCUCAAUAUGCUAACAGCCAUGCUAACAGCUCUGUGAGACUGUAACUGGUUAGAGCUAAAUGCAAGCUAUAGCAUAGCAUGCUAACCUUCUCACAGUAUUAAUAAAUGUUGAUGUUUAGCAAACAUGUUCACCAUCUUUGCCUAGCAUGCUAACUGCUCAGUUAAGCUGAGCAGUUAACUGCUAACAUGCUAGCUACAAUAAUGCUAACAUGUUGAUGUAUAGCAAAUAGAAGGUCAGAAUCUUUGUUUAGCAUGCUAACAUGCUGAUGUUUAGCCAAUGUGUUUGCAGUCUUUGCUUUGCCCAGUAACCUGCUCAAAAUGACAAUGCUAACAUGAUGAUGUUAAGCAGACAUGUUUGCUAACAUUGCUUAGCAUGCUAACAUGCUGGCAUUGCUUAGCAUACAAACAUGCUUGCAACAACAAUGCAAAUAUUUAAUGUUAAGCAAACAUGUUGACCGUCUUUGCUUAGCUUGUUAACAUGCUAAUAUUAAGCAGAUAUAAUGCUUACCAUCUUUGUUUAGCAUGCUAACAUGCUCACAACAACAAUGCUAACAUGUUGAUGUAAAGCAGACAUGUUUGCUAACGAUGUUUAGCAUGUUAGCAUGCUUGUAGCAACAUUGCUAAUAUUUUGAUGUUUAGCAAGUAUUUUUACCGUCUUUGUUUAGCAUGCUAACAUUCAUGCUCAAAGAAUGUUAAUAUUUACCAGAUACACACACACACACACACACACACACACACACACACACACACACACACACACACACACGCAGGUAGUCAUCAAAUGUUUCACUCAACAUCCCGAAUAUUAACUUCCUAAAAGAGGUACAUCCUCUGAUGAUUAUGAACGUCUGCUCUGAAUGACAUCUAACAGCUGUUAAGAUGUUUCGGUCUGAGCGGUGAACUGAUAAUAGAAUAAAAUAAUACUUUAUUGAUAAUUUACAGACUUGUAACAGCAGCAUGUCGACACGUCGAUGACCCACAAAACCGACAGAACAAGAAUAGUCAUCAGUACGAGCACAUACACGGUAUAUAAGGUAGAAAAAAUAUGAUAAAAGUUAAAACAUAUGUCGGGAAAAUUGUUAACUUCUCUAAAUUAAAACUCAGAGUCGUCUCUCAAAUCAAAGUAAACAGACCCCAGUCUGAUAAAAGUGACUGAUAAAAGCCUUUAUACAGGCACAUUAGCAGGAGGGACACAUCUUGGUGUGAUAUCUCUAGUUUGAGUUAUAAACCACACAGUUAAAUAGUAUUACAAUGAAUAAGAACAUUUAAUCAUAAAACAUAAUCAUUUACAUAACAGCACAGCAUAGAACACAUAAAUUAAAAUAUAAAAGCCUGAUUGGUGGACGGGCGCUAAGCUGUUAGCAUGGCUAAAGCAUACAGACACAGUUUAACCCUCCUGUUGUCCUCAUCUAACAGCACCAAAAAAAUAUUUUCUUGUCCGAAAAAAUCCAAAAAUUCAGCAAAAAAAUUCCCCAAAUUUCUGAAAAUUUGCAAAACCUUGAAAAUUUGCAAAACUUUCAGGAAGAAAUUUCCAAUAAUUCCUUAAAAGUUUUAUUUUUAAAAAAUAAUCCCUCAAAUUUGGCAAGAAAAUUCUUGUAAAUAUUUUCAAAAAAUGAUAAAAAUCUUCCCAAAAAAAUCCUAAAAAUAUCUAAAGUGAUUCCAUAUAUAUCAGUAAAACUUCUAAUAUUUUCUUUAAGAACAUUCAUUUUUUUUGUGUGAAUGUUCUUAAGAAGGGCUGCACAGUGGCGUAGUGGUUAGCACUUUCGCCUUGCAGCAAGAAGGUCCCUGGUUCGCGUCCCGGCUUUCCCGGGAUCUUUCUGCAUGGAGUUUGCAUGUUCUCCCUGUGCAUGCGUGGGUUCUCUCCGGGUACUCCGGCUUCCUCCCACAGUCCAAAAAUAUGCUGAGGUUAAUUGAUCAUUCUAAAUUGCCCGUAGGUGUGAAUGUGAGAGUGCUUGUUUGUCUAUAUAUGUAGCCCUGCGACAGACUGGCGACCUGUCCAGGGUGUCCCCUGCCUUCACCUGAGUCAGCUGGGAUAGGCUCCAGCCCCCCCCGCGACCCUAGUGAGGAUUAAGCGGUGUAUAGAUAAUGGAUGGAUGGAUGUUCUUAAGAAACAUUUUUGACAUUUUUUUUCCACCAAAAAUGUUCAAAAAUUUACCAAAAAUGUUAAAAAUGUGGACAUCAGAAGUUUCACUGUGAAAAUAUUUUUUUUCCCCACAUUUUCAAAGUUGAAAACGGGUCGAUUUUGACCCGCAGGACGACACGAGGGUUAAAUAGAAGCAUUAAAAACAUCAAACCAGAACAUGUUCAGUCAUAAUAUUUUUUAUUCCAGCCAUCACCAGGAAGUUCUACUAAGAAUAUACAGACACAUGAUUAUCCUCAGCACCAGACGGGUGGAGUUAAACCAUCAUCUGGACUCUUUUCAGUCUUUCUGGCACCUUUUGUGGGUUUGAAGAUUAUAUUUACCCGAGUGGAUCUUUCUGAAGCUCUGUGUAAACGUCUCACAGCCGAGAAAUGUCACAUGAUGAGAAGGUUUGGUGGUUACCUGUGAUUACCAGUUUUGUACACAAACGUACGUCAGCGGUUUCAUCAUCAGCGUCUGACGUCAUGACGCACAGCUGCUGAUAUAGAACCCGGAACCAGAUGAGUGGAGCGCAGUAACCGGCAGGACCUGAGGGAGCUGCGGAGGAUAUUUAUCUUCAUUUACUGUCUUUUUGGCCAUUUCAACCUGAACCAGGAUGGCGAACGGACACGUGGAAAUCCACGACCUGUUGUCCGCCCACCACAGCCCCUCCAGCUGCUCAGACCCUGAAUCCACCUCAGACAGCGACAGAAUGGACGACACGGUGGAGUUCAGGAUCAUGAUGGCGUUCGCCAAGAGGAGACGACCUCAACAGCAGCAGCAGCAGGAUUCAAAUCCAGACGACGGACCAGUGAAGGAUAGCAGAGAUGCUAACGGAACGACGACUCCAUCCCAGACACCAGAGAAGACUGAGGGGAAGAAGAAGAGGAAGAAGAAGGGAUGGAAACGUCUGUCGAGCAUUUUGAGAUGUGUCAAACCUCAGACUGAAGACCCAGAACCACAGCCAACGCCUCGACCCAACGGAAACUUCAGGAGUUUGGAUCCUAGAACCAAUGAGCGACUGGUAGUGGACUCACACGAACCCGAUGAGGUUAAAGAUGACGAUCAUUUGGCCGAGGCAGUGAGCAGACUGACGGAGAUCGCUGAAGAAAUCCCGUUCACUCCUCCAGAAUGGGAGACGGACUCCAGAGACGGUGAGGUGGAGAAGAUUAUCGGUCUGAUUCUGAGGGAAAGUGGAGACAGACUGAAUGAGAAGGAGCUGAAGAACGCCAACAUCGCAGCAGAACUCUUCUGGAACUACAGCUUCUUUAGGGAGCUAAUAAAUAGACUGCUCAUGAGGAUGGGCCUCAGGAGCCCCGACCCCGACGCUCUGGGGCCUCAAGCAUCACCCAAAACCCAGAUCGCUGUGACCUGUGAGGUGACAACAGCUGUCCUUAAAACACAACUUCCAGUACUUCCCUCUUUGAUAGGAAACAACUUCUAUUUCAGAUCAGUAGCGACUUACAGCAGCAGACUCUAAACUUCAUUGCACCACGAACCGGAAUGACAAAAACGAGACACAACAUGACAAAAAUGAGACAGGAAGACGAUCUAGUCAUUUUUCAAAAUAAAACACCCUGCAGACUCCACCAGAAAUGAAAUGUAAAAUAAAUGGUUUUUAUUCUCUCUGGUGGUUGGAGACUUAAAGGACUCUGAAACUUUACGAGGCAAAGAUCAGAGAAGUAAAAAAACAUCCUGUUACCAGUAGAAACCUCCGAGUUUAGAGUCACCGCUGAGCUUUCACGUCUUCAUCACCUCCCAGUCUGGUGAAUCAUGGUCUUUGAAACGUUUCUGUUCCUCGUCAGGUCACCAGUCGUCUCUCUGAGGUGAACUCUCUGCCCAGGAACCUCCUGAUGCGCCACGGAGCCCGAUACCUGCAGGACUACUACUCCACCUGGGCUCAGCAGCAGGGCGGAUACGUACGUAUAUACGCUCCUCCUCAUCACAAAAUCUGACCUGUAAAACCUUUUAAACGACGCUAACAGCAUCUCUUUCAGGAGGCAGCCUUUGAGGGAGACGAGGAUGAAGUGGAGUGAACCGGACCAGGUCUUCCAGCUCCACAGCGCCUCCUGCAGGCCGUCACAGAAGCAGCAUUAGGAGUCCUACAGAGUGUGGAGAACACAGAACAGGAGCUUUGUGUUUUCAUUCAGACAGAUCAGUUUACACAGAACACGUCUGCAGCCGUGAGCUUUAAAACAAACAAUCAUGUGCUGUCAGGGGCCACGAGACGAUGAAUAAAUUAUUUUUGUACCGUUAUAACCUCUGUGAUUAAGGUUGUCUUGACUUUUUGAAAUCAUCAUUAUUUGCUUUGUAGUUAGAAAGAAGAAAAGUAUAGCUCAGCACUUGCACUUUUAAGAUCACGGAAAAUAGAUGUAAAAUAGAAGUGGUGUUGUUUGUGUUGUUUCUAAGGGACCACUGUGUGUACUGUUGUUGUUGUUUAGACAUAAAUGUAAAUGAAAACACAGAUUUUUAGUCUGUGGAUUGUUUGUGUGAACAUUUUUAGCACAAUACAUCCUGUCAGUUUUCAUAUGAAGUGCAGAAAUGUGUCUAAAAACUGCCUAAAUGCUACUUUUUUGUGUUUUUUCUGUUAUAGUUUAAUGAUUGAGCUCAGAUGAAAACGGCACCACCCUGUGGCCAAAUGUGGAACUGAUUCAAACAACCCCAAUUCAAAUUAGAUUAAUUAAUAAAUGUUGUUUACUUUAUGGAUAUAUUGACAUGUUUUACUCUUGUGAUAAGUUGUUGUAUUUAUUUUAAUAAAUUCAGCAUAAAGUGAACAAAUCCAAGGAUUGGAAAUUUGGAAACGACAAAAACUAGACACAAAAUGACAGAACUGAUACACAAUGACAAAACCGAGACACAAAACGACAAAACUGAGACACAAAAUGACAUAAACGAGACAGAACGACAAAACCGAAACAAAAUGACAAAAACGAGACUCAAACUGACAAAAACGAGACAAAAAUGACAAAAGACUCAAAGUGACAAAAAUGAGACACAAAACCGAGACACAAAAUGACAAAAACAAGACAGGAAAUGACAUUUUAGUGAUAUCCAGUCAUUUUUAUUAAUAAGUGAUUGUUUCCAUAAUAAAUAAUUAUGUAAUUUGUAAAGACAUGAUCAUAAUGAACAUAACAUUUUUGCUUUUAAUAAAAAUGUAGGCAGAUAUAUCCUAAAGUCCUUCAGUUAUAUAUUGACCCACCAGGUGGCACAAAGAUAAAGUUUUUAUUAGUAAUGUUCUUUAAAUAAAGUAUAAAAGGUGGAACUGGUGGAUUUAUUGACUUAUAAUCGUUAUUGCUGUUGAUAGAAGAAAAGUUUUAAAUUUUAUUUCUGUGAAGGAGUCUGGAGCUUCUUCGGUCCGUGUAUUUAUCUGGCAAUUGGAUUUUCCGUUCUGAAACGGGUAUUGAAAAACAAAACGAAU
ensembl:lncRNA